rnacentral:rRNA from 1 species
CAUGAGUAAAGUGGCGCACGGGUGAGUAACACGUGACUAACCUACCCUUGAGUGGGGAAUAACCUAGAGAAAUCUGGGCUAAUACCGCAUAACACCUACGGGUCAAAGGAGCAAUUCGCUUAAGGAGGGGGUCGCGGCAGAUUAGCUAGUUGGCGGGGUAAUGGCCCACCAAGGCGGUGAUCUGUAUCCGGCCUGAGAGGGCGCACGGACACACUGGAACUGAAACACGGUCCAGACUCCUACGGGAGGCAGCAGUGGGGAAUUUUGCGCAAUGGGGGAAACCCUGACGCAGCAACGCCGCGUGGAGGAUGAAGUCCCUUGGGACGUAAACUCCUUUCGAUCGGGACGAUUAUGACGGUACCGAGAGAAGAAGCCCCGGCUAACUUCGUGCCAGCAGCCGCGGUAAUACGAGGGGGGCGAGCGUUGUUCGGAAUUAUUGGGCGUAAAGGGUGCGUAGGCGGUUCGGUAAGUCUUAUGUGAAAUCUUCGGGCUCAACUCGAAGUCUGCAUGAGAAACUGCCGGGCUUGAGUGUGGGAGAGGUGAGUGGAAUUUCCGGUGUAGCGGUGAAAUGCGUAGAUAUCGGAAGGAACACCUGUGGCGAAAGCGGCUCACUGGACCACAACUGACGCUGAUGC